CUCCCCUGGCACCACCCUCACCCCGCAGCUCCCCCCAUACACACCCUCGCUGGAAAGUUCGCCCUGCCCGGGCUGGGCUCCCAGGCAGCCUGGCACCGUGCCAGGCUCGCCGCCGAGCUCGGGCAGCAGGGUGGGGCAAACGCAGAGCACGGAGGACAGGGCCGGGCGACCUGGGCACCAGCAGGACCCGAGGCCAGGAGCCAGGGGCCCAGAAGAUUGAGCUUCUAGAGCCUCAGAGAUGGAAUUCACUGUUUUGCCGCGAUUUGACGUUAAAUUAUUGACCCAUGGGGAGGAGGGUAACUUCCCCUGAAAAGAAGGCAGAGAUGUUUUGCUGUGCCCAGUGUGAGGAAGCGAAGGAAAAGAAAGAUCUUUUGAAAAUGUGUACAUUUACUUGCAGCUUAAAAAUUCCAAGUGCCAGACAUUUUUCUUGGAGGAAAUAAAUGUCUUCAAUUUAUUAAUCUUA
rnacentral:antisense_RNA from 1 species